rnacentral:miRNA from 1 species
CACUACUCCCUCCGUCCCAUA